AGCAGCCGCGGUAAUUCCAGCUCCAAUAGCGUAUAUUAAAGUUGUUGCAGUUAAAAAGCUCGUAGUUGAAUUUCGGAAUCAAUAUAUCGGUCGUGCCUUGGUACGUACUGGUAUCAUUGGUUUCUCCUUUCUGACGAACCAUGAUGUCAUUAAUUUGGUGUUAUGGGAAGUUAGGACUGUUACUUUGAAAAAAUUAGAGUGUUUAAAGCAGGCUUUAGCUUGAAUACAUUAGCAUGGAAUAAUGAAAUAGGACGUUCGAACCUAUUUUGUUGGUUUCUAGGAUCAACGUAAUGAUUAAUAGGGAUAGUUGGGGGCAUUAGUAUUCAAUUGUCAGAGGUGAAAUUCUUGGAUUUAUUGAAGACUAACUACUGCGAAAGCAUUUGCCAAGGAUGUUUUCAUUAAUCAAGAACGAAAGUUAGGGGAUCGAAGACGAUCAGAUACCGUCGUAGUCUUAACCAUAAACUAUGCCGACUAGGGAUCGGAUGAUGUUAAUUUUUUAAUGACUCA
rnacentral:rRNA from 1 species